rnacentral:rRNA from 1 species
UGCCCAACAGCUAGCCCACCCACCAAAAACAACAUACCCCCAUUAAUAACCCCGCAUGCACUAAAUAGAAACAAACAAACCAUUUUUCCCCCUAAGUAUGGGCGACAGAAAAGGAACAUUGGCGCAAUAGAGAAAGUACCGCAAGGGAAAGCUGAAAGAGGAAUGAAAUAACCCAGUAAAGCUCAAAGAAGCAGAGACUAAGUCUCGUACUUU